rnacentral:tRNA from 1 species
CAGGUUAUAGCUUAUCAAUUAAAGCUUUUUAUUUACAUUAAUAUGAAAACUAGUUAGUUUAAUCUGA